UACGGGGGGGGGCAAGCGUUGUUCGGAAUUACUGGGCGUAAAGGGCUCGUAGGCGGCCAACUAAGUCCGACGUGAAAUCCCCAGGCUUAACCUGGGAACUGCGUCGGAUACUGGAUGGCUUGAAUUCGGGAGAGGGAUGCAGAAUUCCAGGUGUAGCGGUGAAAUGCGUAGAUAUCGAGAGGAACACCUGCGGCGAAAGCGGCGCGCUGGACCACUACUGACGCUGAGGAACGAAAGCUAGGGGAGCAAACAGG
rnacentral:rRNA from 1 species